rnacentral:rRNA from 1 species
GCCAGCAGGCCCUUGUGGUGCUGGGGACUCACGGGAGACCGCCGGGGUCAACUCGGAGGAAGGUGGGGACGACGUCAAGUCAUCAUGCCCCUUAUGUCUUGGGCUGCACACGUGCUACAAUGGGCGGUACAAUGAGCUGCGAUACCGUGAGGUGGAGCGAAUCUCAAAAAGCCGGUCUCAGUUCGGAUUGGGGUCUGCAACUCGACCCCAUGAAGUCGGAGUCGCUAGUAAUCGCAGAUCAGCAUUGCUGCGGUGAAUACGUUCCCGGGCCUUGUACACACCGCCCGUCACGUCACAAAAGUCGGUAACACCCGAAGCCGGUGGCCCAACCCCUUGUGGGAGGGAGCUGUCGAAGGUGGGACUGGCGAUUGGGAC